CCUACGGGGGGUAGCAGUGGGGAAUAUUGGACAAUGGGCGAAAGCCUGAUCCAGCCAUGCCGCGUGUGUGAAGAAGGCCUUCGGGUUGUAAAGCACUUUCAGUGGGGAAGAAAGCCUUGGGGCUAAUACCCUCGAGGAAGGACAUCACCCACAGAAGAAGCACCGGCUAACUCCGUGCCAGCAGCCGCGGUAAUACGGAGGGUGCGAGCGUUAAUCGGAAUUACUGGGCGUAAAGCGCGCGUAGGCGGUCUGAUAAGCCGGUUGUGAAAGCCCCGGGCUCAACCUGGGAACGGCAUCCGGAACUGUCAGGCUAGAGUGCAGGAGAGGAAGGUAGAAUUCCCGGUGUAGCGGUGAAAUGCGUAGAGAUCGGGAGGAAUACCAGUGGCGAAGGCGGCCUUCUGGACUGACACUGACGCUGAGGUGCGAAAGCGUGGGUAGCAAACAGGAUUAGAUACCCGAGUAGUC
rnacentral:rRNA from 1 species